UUCAGCAGGUACAGCUUUUAAAAAAGAAAAAAGAGUCAGGAAGCUGCUCCCAGAGGGGCGCAGACUCCGGUUGUGAGUCUGGCAAUGAGAGCGGGGGUCCUAGGAGUGCAGACUCGGGUUUCUCCGGAUUCAGCCCGGGGAGCGGUGGGAACAGCUCGCGCGCUUUCUCUCUGCCCGUCUUCACCCUCGUCCUGCUCCUCCUCCCCUUCCCCUGCUGCCGCGAGUUUCUAUCUCCAUUGUUCCCUGAAGCCCAGCAGCCAGUGUGCAGCCGGGCCCAGCAUUGGAUCCGCAGCCAGCAACUUCCUCUGAAGCUGCGAUGCAUAAUUACAACCAGCUGCUCCUGCUCCGGGCGGCUGGCCGGCCGGCUCUGCAAACAAGCGUCCUGAUACCCGGAGUUCCCCGGGGGCCACAGCCGGCUCCUGGCAGCAGCAAAUCCACCGAAGGCCGUGCCCACGCCCUCGGAAGACGAGCGAGCAGCCCGCGUCCCUCUCUGGCUCCCAGAGGCCAGCUGCCUCCUCUCUUCUCCACUGAGUCAGAGAGGGUCGUUUCCACUGCUCAGGGGAAGGUGUCUGCUCGGUCGGUCACCCGCUGCUGCCCUCUCCCUAGCCUUCUGGUGUCACCUCGAAGCAGGAUGGUGUGGGACUGGCUGUCCAGGGGUUAAGACUCUUCCCUACUUCCACUGCAGGCGGCGGGGGUUUGAUCCCUGGUGGAGGAACUAAGAUUCCACAGGCCACAUGUGGCCAAAAAAUUUUUAAUUUUUUUAAUUUUAAUAAAGCAGGUGGCGUGUCCUAGGUCUGACUCAGGAAACAGGAGCACCAGGGACCCUGACUUUCGGUCAGCAUUUCAGCUAAGGCGAACACAGAGAGAAGGAGGUGGGAAAUUUGCUUUGCUCUCAGCUAGCAGGAGGCAAAGAGACAAUUGAGGUUGCUUUAAAAGGAUGCCAGUGAAAAUCCAAACAAGCCUGACUUAGUCUCUGGAACUAGGGAGAGCAGCGAGUGAGCAUGUGAGAGCUGAGGAAUCGCCCCGGACCCACCUCAGAGCUGUGGGUUCAUUCGGGGACCAGUGAUUUUUCAGGCUUGACUACAAGUAUGACUCGGAUCCAAAAUUAGGCUUUGGAUGUGUAACGCCAGGCUCCCUGCCCCACCCACCGCCUCUCUCUGCCCUCUGCCGUUUCUUCAGAGCCUGGCUCCCGGCCAGAGCUGGCCCUUCAGGCUCCUGGGGGAAGGGCUGGCCUGGGUGUUCUGUCUUGUUCUGUUUCCAGGCAGGGUUUUAGGAUGGGUGAAGGCACGUGGGCUAUUCAGGAAGUAGAGGGGAAACUGAUAUGCUUGGGAAGGGCAUCCAAACCUCAAAUCACUCACUUCAUCCAGCCAAAGGCGGAGGAGACAGUGCAGGUAGGAGCAUGGUGAUGCCACCCUGGGCUGCCCAUGAGGCUUCUGCCCACUGUGCCUGACAGCCUGGGCUCCCGCCAGGCCUUCAGCAGUGAGAGCCGAGCCGGGCUGGGCCUGCUGCUCUGUCAUGUCCAACGGCAGCCAUGGAGGUGGGGAGCAGCUGGGAGUGUGCUGUUGAACAGGAGCUGCUCAUUUUACAGGGCGAUUUCCCAGGGCUGCUGGCCCUGGCAGGAGUGGUGCAGACGGCAGCAUCUUCGAGACCGCUUGUCCUCUCUGACCUUCAGCAGCCAGACCACAGGCAGCAGCGGGGCUGUCGUGUUGGGGUUCGCCUUCGCAGCCUUCUUUGUCUCAUUGUUUUAAAACCUUAGUAGAACUUUGUUUGCAGAGUGGUACCAGGCAGGGAGUACUUCCUUGGAAGGAAUUUUAAAGCAGCCUGGGUUGGCAAAGGGCAUGCGAAGAACCAAUCACGCUUGAACGUGUGUGCACAGUGGGGAAGAAAACAAUACCACUUAAAGUGUUCUUUCGAUGUUCAACCCACACUUUCCCUUCGGAUUCUUGAGCCUCGAUACCCUUUAGAAGCACAUACAAAGCAAACUCCAGUCUUUGAGAGCAUCACGGCUCGGCUCUUUCAGCCCGGAUAUGACUGAUGCAGCUUGACCGGCUCCUCCACCUAGAGCAGCUGGGAAGUCCCAGGGACUGAGUAAUGUGAUUUGGGGCAGGUUUUUCUUUGGUGCCUUUCGAUGAGGAACCAGCUUAACAAGCAGUCAUGUCUGAGUUCUCACUUCACCACAAACCUUGCUUGAGGACUUCAGAGCUUUAAAGGGCUCUGUUCCCAGAGGAGAAGCAGGAGAAGGCACCUAGAGCCCUGUUCUAUCAAUGGAAAAACUGAAGCAUGAAGAGGUAAAGCGAGGUCACCGAGGGAGCAGGCCAAACACUGCCAACCAGGACCCACAGUGUGCAAACGGGAUCUCCAGCGUCCUGAGCAAAGCCAAGAUCUGAGCAGAAAGGAAAGAGAGACAAGUGUUACCACUGGAGGCAGACAGACCACUCAGAGUGAUGCUCCUGGAACAGGGAAGUGAUGGGUGGAAAGCUGCACAUGAUUGGCCCAUUUGUACUAACAAAGAUCAUAUAAACCUAAUGGCAAGACCUCCUAAACAUUUAUUUAACCACCUAUUUUGGACACUAUACUUAGAGAUUUUUCUUCCUUGGUAUCAGAACUGUGCAGAGAAAUAGACUGAUGACAAAAUAAUUAAAAUUUCAUGUCAAUGUUCAUAUGUUAUGAUAAUGCAUGUCAUUACAUAUAAGUCAACCAAAUGUUUGAAUGGAUAUUUCUACUUAAGCUUUAAGGUUGUGACCCAUUUUCCAUUUACGUACUGCGUACUCAAAUACAUACCAUAUCUCUUUAGGUUUUCUGAAUGGCUCCACCACUCACAAGCUUUGUGACCUUAGGCAAAAGCUCUGAGCCUCAAAUUUCUCCUCUGUAAAUGGGUAAUCAGGCCUAUCUCUGAUUUUAUUUUUUUGCUAAUACUAAUUGAUUUCCGGUUAGUAAAGGUAUUGAACACAAGCCCUGGUACAGAAAGAGUGCUUAGUAAAUGAUAUUUCCUUCCUCCCUGUCUUCUAAUCUUUUCCUUAAGGUGCUUUAAUUGUUGGAAGUACUUUCAUGUUUAUUCCAUACAUACAAUUCAGUAAGGCAGCUCUGCUGCUGCUGCUGCUGCUAAGUUGCUUCAGUCGUGUCCGACUCUGUGCGACCCCAUAGAUGGCAGCC